GUUCCUACGGGGCGCAGCAGUGAGGAAUAUUGGUCAAUGGACGCAAGUCUGAACCAGCCAUGCCGCGUGCAGGAUGACGGCUCUAUGAGUUGUAAACUGCUUUUGUACGAGGGUAAUAUCGUAUGCCGUCUUCUGCUUGAAAAAAAAGUACGAAUAAGGAUCGGCUAACUCCGUGCCAGCAGCCGCGGUAAUACGGAGGAUCCAAGCGUUAUCCGGAUUUAUUGGGUUUAAAGGGUGCGUAGGCGGUUUUAUAAGUUA
rnacentral:rRNA from 1 species